rnacentral:rRNA from 1 species
GUAGUCAUAUGCUUGUCUUAAAGAUUAAGCCAUGCAUGUCUUAGUAUAAGCUUUUAUACGGCGAGACCGCGAACGGCUCAAUAAAUCAGUUAUAGUUUAUUUGAUCGUGCCUUGCUACUCGGAUAACCGUAGUAAUUCUAGAGCUAAUACGUGCUAAAAAUGGGCAGCAAUGUCCAUGCGUUUAUUAGAUACUUAGCCAACGUGGGGUCCCCCUCACUAAAUGCUGACUCAUGAUAACCUCGCGAACCGCAUGCCUCGUGCUGGCGGUGUUUCAUUCAAAUUUCUGCCCUAUCAACUUCGGAUGGUAGUGUAGUGGACUACCAUGGUCGUAACGGGUGACAGAGAACUAGGGUUCGGUUCUGGAGAGGGAGCCUGAGAGAUGGCUACCACUUCCAAGGAAGGCAGCAGGCGCGCAAAUUACCCAAUGAGAGUACCUCGAGGUAGUGACAAUAAAUAACAAUGCAGGUGCUUUACGGCACUUGCAAUUGGAAUGAACACGGUGUAAAUAGCCUAGUAAGGAUCAAUUGGAGGACAAGUCUGGUGCCAGCACCCGCGGUAAUUCCAGCUCCAAUAGCGUAUAUUAAAGUUGUUGCAGUUAAAACGCUCGUAGUCGGAUUCAGGGGCUGAUACAAUAAUGGUCUGCUGGGGACAGUGUGCACUGUAUUGUUCACCUCUUAUUUCGCGAAUGGGUCGUAUCUGAUCUUAACUGAUUGGGUACUGGCUCUCGCGUCUUUUACCAUGAGUAAAUUAGAGUGCUCAAAGCAGGCCACCUUGGCUUGAAUAUUUUAGCAUGGGAUAAUAGGACAGGACGCCUGUCUUGUUCGUUGGUUAGCGAGCUGGCGUAAUGAUCAACAGGAACUGUCGGGGACAUUUAUAUUGCUGGGGGAGGGGUGAAAUCCUUGGAUCCCAGCAAGAUAAACUACUGCAAAAGCAUUUGUCAAGUAUGUUUCCAUUGAUCAAGAACGAAAGUUUGGGGAUCGAAGACGAUCAGAUACCGUCGUAGUCCAAACUAUAAACGAUGGCGACCACAGCUUGAGUAGUGUUACUUGAAACCUCCCCAUGAUGUAGCGAGAAAUCAGAGUGUUUGGCUUCCGGGGGGAGUAUGGUCGCAAGGCUGAAACUUAAAGGAAUUGACGGAAGGACACACCAGGAGUGGAGCCUGCGGCUUAAUUUGACUCAACACGGG